UAUCAAUAUAUCAUAAAAUUUGCAAAAGCGGUAACCAUAAGCUGCAUAAAUGAUGUGUGUUGUGUGCUUGACUUUCUUUUAAAUUUUUCUAAAGCGUUGCGUAACGUUUUGAUGUCUUUUAGGGAUUUGCCGCUGGCGUUGCGCAACUGCCCGACUUGGCAUUUGUCACCGUUCCUCCACCUCCUCUUCGAAGAUGCAUUAAUCCAAAUCGAAGACCAUUGGUUUUUCGAUGCUGAAUGGAGCCCAGAAUGCGGCGAUCUUUGGAGCGUGUAAAGUGAAAAGAUUUUCAAAGCGGGAGAGGGGCAUAUUUGACACCCAUUAAAACGGUAUUUGGUUUUGGCUGUUGGGUUUCUGCUUUUGCUUUUGUUUAGAGCCCGCGGAAGCAUUGUUAAUUGAUAUUAAAAGCUGAAUGGUCUCGGA
rnacentral:lncRNA from 1 species